rnacentral:ncRNA from 1 species
UAAGGUCUUGGUCCCAAACCUUAUAUUGUUCAUACCAUUACUUAUACAUGCAAGCCUCUACCUCACGGUGAGUACACACUAUCUCAAUAGAUAAAACUAGGCAUCAGGCUAAAAACUAGUACCAAAAACGCCAAGAACAAUCCACACCCACACGGGUAUACAGCAGUAAUUUACAUUGGGCUAUAAGUGAAAACUUGACCCAGCAAAUGGUACCUUAGAGCCGGUAAAUCUCGUGCCAGCGACCGCGGUUACACGAUAGGCCCAAAACAAUAUUAACGGCGUAAAGCACGAUUAGAACCACCAUCACAACAUUAAGGAAGAAGCCACUCCAAGCCGUAAAAAGCCAUAAGCCAAACUAAACAUUCAACCUUAAUCACUAGACCUAUUCAACUCGUGAAAAUCAGGAUACAAACUAGGAUUAGAUACCCUACUAUGCCAGAUCGUAACAAGAUAGUACCAUACAAACACUAUCCGCCAAACAACUACGAGUGAAAACUUAAAACUUAAAAGACUUGACGGUACUUCAUAACAACCUAGAGGAGCCUGUCUAAUAACCGAUAACCCACGAUCAACCCAACCACUUCUAGCCAUCCAGUCUAUAUACCGCCGUCACCAGCCCACCUUGUGAAAGAAACAAAGCAAGCUCAACAAUAUAACACUAGUAAGACAGGUCGAGGUGUAGCAAAUGAAGUGGACCAAGAUGGGCUACAUUUUCUAACACAGAAAACACGAACAGAAAUAUGAAAAACUCCUAGAAGGCGGAUUUAGCAGUAAGCUAAGAACACCAUACUUAACUGAAACUAACGCAAUGAAGUGCGCACACACCGCCCGUCAUCCCUGCCACUAAAAUUAACACCACUACAUAAACCAUUAAACAUUAAUAAAUCAGGGCAAGUCGUAACAUGGUAAGUGUACUGGAAAGUGCACUUAGAAUA